rnacentral:rRNA from 1 species
AUUGAACGCUGGCGGCAGGCCUAACACAUGCAAGUCGAACGGUAGCACAGAGAGCUUGCUCUCGGGUGACGAGUGGCGGACGGGUGAGUAAUGUCUGGGAAACUGCCCGAUGGAGGGGGAUAACUACUGGAAACGGUAGCUAAUACCGCAUAACGUCACAAGACCAAAGUGGGGGACCUUCGGGCCUCACACCAUCGGAUGUGCCCAGAUGGGAUUAGCUAGUAGGUGGGGUAAUGGCUCACCUAGGCGACGAUCCCUAGCUGGUCUGUGAGGAUGACCAGCCACACUGGAACUGAGACACGGUCAAGACUCCUACGGGAGGCAGCAGUGGGGAAUAUUGCACAAUGGGCGCAAGCCUGAUGUAGCCAUGCCGCGUGUAUGAAGAAGGCCUUCGGGUUGUAAAGUACUUUCAGCGGGGAGGAAGGCGGUGAAGUUAAUAGCUUCACCGAUUGACGUUACCCGCAGAAGAAGCACCGGCUAACUCCGUGCCAGCAGCCGCCGUAA